GUGCUCGCUUCAGCAGCACAUAGACUAAAAACUGGAACAAUACAGUGAAGAUUAGCAUGGCCCCUGCACAAGGAUGACACGCAAAAUAGGAGGUAGCAAUAUACGUAG